GACAGCACAAACCAAAAUAGGAAAAUGAGCCUAGUUGCCAAAAAUAUCAAUAGGAGACUGCAGGAUCUAGGACUGCUGGAUGUAUGGCGUGACACCCAUAAGACCGAUAAGGAAUAUACUUUUUACUCAGCCCGCCACACUGAAUACUCCAGGUUAGACUACUUUUUACUCAGCCCGCCACACUGAAUACUCCAGGUUAGACUACUUUUUACUCAGCCCGCCACACUGAAUACUCCAGGUUAGACUACUUUUUACUCAGCCCGCCACACUGAAUACUCCAGGUUAGACUACUUUUUACUCAGCCCGCCACACUGAAUACUCCAGGUUAGACUACUUUUUACUCAGCCCGCCACACUGAAUACUCCAUGUUAGACUACUUUUUACUCAGCCCGCCACACUGAAUACUCCAGGUUAGACUACUUUUUCAUGUACAGUGCAGAUAGAC
ensembl:lncRNA